AACGAACGCUGGCGGCAUGCCUAACACAUGCAAGUCGAACGAGACCUUCGGGUCUAGUGGCGCACGGGUGCGUAACGCGUGGGAACCUGCCCUUAGGUUCGGAAUAACUCCCCGAAAGGGGUGCUAAUACCGGAUAAUCUCUUCGGGCCAAAGAUUUAUCGCCGUUGGAUGGGCCCGCGUUGGAUUAGCUAGUUGGUAGGGUAAACGCCUACCAAGGCGACGAUCCAUAGCUGGUCUGAGAGGAUGAUCAGCCACACUGGGACUGAGACACGGCCCAGAUACCUGCGGGAGGGAGGAGGAGGGAAUAUUGGGGAAUGGGCGCAAGCCUGAUCCAGCCAUGGCGCGGGAGGGAUGAAGGCCUUUGGGAUGUAAAGUUCUUUUACCCGGGAUGAUGAUGGAAGUAACGGGAGAAAGAAGUCCCGGCAAAUUCGGGG
rnacentral:rRNA from 1 species